AGGAGGAACAACCCCAGUGGCGGGGCCAGCUCUGCAGCCCUGGAGUCAGCUCCCGCAGUAAGUAGCUCUGGAGCUCUCCGUCUACAGAGCCUGGAGGCUCCGGGUGGGG
rnacentral:pre_miRNA from 1 species